rnacentral:rRNA from 1 species
UAAUUUAAAGUCUAACCUGCCCAAUGAGUAUUUAAAUGGCCGCGGUAUCUUGACCGUGCUAAGGUAGCAUAAUCAAUAGUUUUUUAAUUGAAAGCUGGAAUGAAGGGUUGGAUAAAAAAAUAACUGUUUUUAUUUUAUUAAAUUAGAAUUUUAUUUUUAAGUUAAAAAGCUUAAAUUUUAUUAAAAGACGAGAAGACCCUAUAGAGUUUUAUAAUUUUAAAAUUUUUUAGUUUAAGAAUUUACUUUUUUAAUUUUUAAAAUUAUUUAAUUGGGGUGAUUAAAAAAUUAAUAUAACUUUUUUUGUAAAUUUACAAAAUUAAUUGAGUUUUUGAUCCAUAUAUAAUGAUUAUAAGAUUAAAUUACCUUAGGGAUAACAGCGUUAUUUUUUUUAAGAGUUCAAAUCGAAAAAAAAGAUUGCGACCUCGAUGUUGGAUUAAAA